ensembl:lncRNA
UGAGAGGGACUACUAGAUUGAGGAAUGAAACAUCUCAAUCACUGCCAAACAGUGCAGCCUUGCUUGGAGGAGCAUGUCCUGGGCACGGACGGCUCCUGCAUCAGUCUCUGGGGAAGUGCAGGCAAAUUAUGAAAUGAAGAAUGCUAUCAUGUGGAUCUUCAGGGAAGAAGUCAAACAGUAACAUUCUUCAGUUAUGUUUGAAUAUUUAAAUGAAGCUUUCAUGUGCACAAGUUGCAGUACUGGUGUUCUGCUGUCUCAUUUGGGCAUGUACUUCAGGUAACAGCACUCAAUGUUGAAAUGAGAGCUGGGAACGAGAUGGAUUAACUGAUGAACUGCCUGAUUGAUUUGGGUGGGAAGUGCUGAGUACACCCAAGUCUGAUUAACACAUGGAAGCAGGAUUCAUUUGAAGGUGCCUCUGUGUUGCACUACCAUAUUUUACCUGAGACUUUCUGGACAUGCCCUGUGUUGAGCUGUUAUUCUGCCAACUGAGUUCCAUGUAUUAAAUCUUUUGUGAAUAGAAAACUUCAUUGACAUGUGAAAGCCAAAAUUCUAAACUUGCCUUGGGAAAGAAGAGGAGCAGUAUUUGGAAGGAAAAAAAAAGAAAAAA